CCAGCUGUUCCAUCAGCUGUUCCCUACCCGGGCAUGCAGAACCGGUAACAGUUCUGUGUGAAGCCCCGGGGACAACGUAGCCGCCGGAUACCCGGUACGCCGAGCCGCGAGGCAAGGCGGAAUCUGCCAGCACAAAGGCGGAGAGGUGC
rnacentral:ncRNA from 1 species